rnacentral:rRNA from 1 species
AUGGACAACAGGGUGGACGUAUCCUUCACCACUGGGAACGGGAACAAAUUGGCGCGUGAGAAAGGUGUGCAUCACAACACACCUGGUACAGGAGAUGAAGGCAACCCCUUCGUUAUUGAGGACAAUGGUAAUUCACCCAACCCAUCUCUUGCGACCGUAGACACGAAUGACUUUCCAGCUAUUACUUCAACCCCGAAGAAUAUGAAUGAAGUGUCAGACGGGUCUAGCGCCGAUAAAUCUGAGGAGAUUAGUAUGGAUAGUCUGAACACCCGUAUUAAAAAUGCGAAAGAAAAUGGCACUCAGGAGAAUGAUGGGAAGGAAAAUGAUGGGAAGGAGAAUGAUGGGAAACGCAAGAGGAAACAGUCAAAAUACUGUCUUUCACCUUACCAGCAGAAUGGUGGACGUAAACGUGCAAAGAAAAAGGCCGCGAAGGUUUAUAUCCGGACACUGGCAGACUCGGAGAAGCUUUGCAGCAAAACUGUCAUGCACAUGACGGGAAUUGGUGGGGAAACAUGUACACCUGAUAUGCUUCAAGCCAUCAUUUCAAAGAAGUGGUUGCAUGGCGGUGGUCAUCAAUAG